GCAUAAACAGCUGAGGAAGCCCUGCUGCUCACUCACACACAGAGCCUUUGGUGGGUGCUCAGUCCUCAGGAGGACCGGUUUUGAUGACCUAGUCUGAUUACAGCAUCUUUGACAGCUUUAAAGGAAUUUGCCCUGGGGAAGAAGACAGCUGCUGCCCUGAUGAAGGAUUUUUCUGAGCAGGCCUCCCAAGCCAGACAUGUCAGUGUGAGAUGCUGCCUACAUUUUUCAUCAUGACCAACAGGACACAGCAGAGAGGAGAUUUUGGAAGCAUUUCACAAGGCUUGCAGCUCUGAGCUGGUUUCAGCAUGAGGAAAAGCCCUCCAUCACCCCAAUGCACAGGAAAGAGAAGACAGAUGACAGCAGCUAUCCUCCUUCCAUACUGAGGAAAAGGCCACCUGUGGACCAAGCUGUGGGGGAAAAGCGGAGAGCAGAGAGAAGGGUUCGAUUUCGUGAGCCAGAAGAAGUCAUUGAACAUGUAAUUUCCUGCUGUGACUACGUAGUGGCAGAUGACAGGACAUCAUCUGGAUUGCCUGUGCUCCUGUGGCUCUUGUUUUGUGCAGUGCUGAUCCUUGCUGUGAGUCUCUACUACACCAGCAUGAAGCAAAAUGUCACAGUCCUGGAGGAAUUUCAAUCCCGACUUGUCAUCUUCUUUCUUCAUAUAAGACAUGUUGCUCAGAGGUGCUGGACUUGGUUUCUGAGGCAGUAGCAGUGUCCUCCAGCCUGACACUGCUAAGAAACAUCAGUGCAAAGCUCCCAGCCUACUGCAGCCACAUGCAAGGAACACAUGAGCAUCCACCUCAAAGAGCAAGAAAAUCACCCCUGCUGUGCACCAUCCAGAAAACACUUGUUCUCCUUUUUCCUUCUUUGCUGUUUUCCUUUGUUUCACAUCAAUGAACAUUCAAACUAAUGCCUUGAGGUCCCACCAAACUCAGGCACCAUCACCCUGAACAUCAAACAAGUAUCUAGAUUUUGUUACCCAGAAUUAAUAAACUGCUGAUAUGAGGAACA
rnacentral:lncRNA from 1 species